CUGCUUACUUGGGCAGCACAUACACUAGAGCUAGAAUGACACAGAGACUGGCAUGGCCCCUGCACAAGGAUGACAUGCAAAUUCGUGAAGGAUUCCAUAGUUUU
ensembl:snRNA U6 U6 spliceosomal RNA